rnacentral:lncRNA from 1 species
CCGAGGACAGCAGGCAUGAGUGAAGCUGACGGUCUUCGGGGCCCCUUCUUCUGAUGGAGUCUUUUCAAUGAACUAGAGAAAGGAAAGCACAUCUUCCCAUUUAGAAGUCCACGUUCCCACGGGCGGAAUAUUUUACAGGAUCCCUCCAAUAGAGCAACAGAAGUGUGCUGCCUGAGAGACUGGGUCAGCAGCCUGGUCUGAGUAACCAAAGCUGAGUCCUGACCACUACUCCUGUG